rnacentral:snRNA from 1 species
AUCUCUUUGCCUUUUGGCUUAGAUCAAGUGUAGUAUCUGUUCUUUUCAGUGUAACAACUGAAACGUCAUCACUGAUGACUUUUACAACGUUACCCCUAUUUUUGGAGAACUCGUGCUGGGGCUUGAUGGGCUUGCCCACACCCCAACACACAGUGUCGCUGCCAUUGCACAACCCGGCUUCUGACGCACAUUUUA